rnacentral:rRNA from 1 species
AGUGAACGCUGGCGGUAGGCCUAACACAUGCAAGCCGAACGGCAGCACAGGAGAGCUUGCUCUCUGGGUGGCGAGUGGCGGACGGGUGAGGAAUACAUCGGAAUCUACCUUUUCGUGGGGGAUAACGUAGGGAAACUUACGCUAAUACCGCAUACGACCUUCGGGUGAAAGCAGGGGACCUUCGGGCCUUGCGCGGAUAGAUGAGCCGAUGUCGGAUUAGCUAGUUGGCGGGGUAAAGGCCCACCAAGGCGACGACCCGUAGCUGGUCUGAGAGGAUGAUCAGCCACACUGGAACUGGGACACGGUCCAGACUCCUACGGGAGGCAGCAGUGGGGAAUAUUGGACAAUGGGCGCAAGCCUGAUCCAGCCAUACCGCGUGGGUGAAGAAGGCCUUCGGGUUGUAAAGCCCUUUUGUUGGGAAAGAAAAGCAGCCAGUUAAUACCUGGUUGUUCUGACGGUACCCAAAGAAUAAGCACCGGCUAACUUCGUGCCAGCAGCCGCCGUAA